rnacentral:rRNA from 1 species
UACGUAGGUGGCAAGCGUUGUCCGGAAUUAUUGGGCGUAAAGGGCGCGUAGGCGGUACCUUAAGUCAGAUGUGAAAACCCGAGGCUUAACUUCGGAGGUGCAUUUGAAACUGGGGAACUAGAGUGCAGGAGAGGUAAGUGGAAUUCCUAGUGUAGCGGUGAAAUGCGUAGAUAUUAGGAGGAACACCAGUGGCGAAGGCGACUUACUGGACUGUAACUGACGCUGAGGCGCGAAAGCGUGGGGAGCAAACAGGAUUAGAUACCCUAGUAGU